rnacentral:rRNA from 1 species
GACGAACGCUGGCGGCGUGCUUAACACAUGCAAGUCGAACGGAAAGGCCCUGCUUUUGUGGGGUGCUCGAGUGGCGAACGGGUGAGUAACACGUGAGUAACCUGCCCUUGACUUUGGGAUAACUUCAGGAAACUGGGGCUAAUACCGGAUAGGAGCUCCUGCUGCAUGGUGGGGGUUGGAAAGUUUCGGCGGUUGGGGAUGUACUCGCGGCUUAUCAGCUUGUUGGUGGGGUAGUGGCUUACCAAGGCUUUGACGGGUAGCCGGCCUGAGAGGGUGACCGGCCACAUAGGGACUGAGAUACGGCCCAGACUCCUACGGGAGGAAGCAGUGGGGAAUAAUGCACAAUGGGCGGAAGCCUGAUGCAGCAACGCCGCGUGCGGGAUGACGGCCUUCGGGUUGUAAACCGCUUUCGCCUGUGACGAAGCGUGAGUGACGGUAAUGGGUAAAGAAGCACCGGCUAACUACGUG